rnacentral:rRNA from 1 species
UACGUAGGGUGCAAGCGUAAUCGGAAUUACUGGGCGUAAAGCGUGCGCAGGCGGUUCGCUAAGACCGGUGUGAAAUCCCCGGGCUUAACCUGGGAACUGCAUUGGUGACUGGCGGGCUAGAGUAUGGCAGAGGGGGGUAGAAUUCCACGUGUAGCAGUGAAAUGCGUAGAGAUGUGGAGGAAUACCGAUGGCGAAGGCAGCCCCCUGGGCCAAUACUGACGCUCAUGCACGAAAGCGUGGGGAGCAAACAGG